rnacentral:rRNA from 1 species
AUUGAACGCUGGCGGCAUGCCUUACACAUGCAAGUCGAACGGCAGCAUAGAGAGCUUGCUCUCUGAUGGCGAGUGGCGAACGGGUGAGUAAUGCAUCGGAACGUACCGUGUAAUGGGGGAUAACGUAGCGAAAGUUACGCUAAUACCGCAUACGACCUACGGGUGAAAGCAGGGGACCUUCGGGCCUUGCGCGAUUGAAUGAGCCGAUGUCGGAUUAGCUAGUUGGCGGGGUAAAGGCCCAACAAGGCGACGAUCCGUAGCUGGUCUGAGAGGCUGAUCAGCCACACUGGAACUGAGACACGGUCCAGACUCCUACGGGAGGCAGCAGUGGGGAAUAUUGGACAAUGGGCGCAAGCCUGAUCCAGCCAUACCGCGUGGGUGAAGAAGGCCUUCGGGUUGUAAAGCCCUUUUGUUGGGAAAGAAAUCCAGCCGGUUAAUACCUGGUUGGGAUGACGGUACCCAAAGAAUAAGCAACUACUAACUACGUGCCAGCAGCCGCAGUAA